UUCUUAACAACUUUUUUGAAACUUCUCUUUUUCUCUGCUUCAAAUCUAUACGCACCCCUUUUGUCUAUUAUUUUUUUCUUCUAAUUCUCGUCUUUUUCUUGGUAUUGUGUUGUGUCUGGAUUUCUUGGUCUAGUUUUAAAUUUAAUUCUUGGUAUUGUGUUUGUAAAUCUAACCCAUUGUCUAGUUUGGGCUAGAUCUGUGUUAUGUCUCUUACAAAUCUUUCAUUUGAAUGAGUUUUGCUUAGCGACUCAUGGUUUUUGUUUGAUUGGUUGUAGAAAUAAAACGUAUGGGACAAGUUCUUGCUGUUGUUGAUGGCAUUUUGAAUCUGUUUGAAAGAUGCGGUUAAUAGGCUUAAUGCUCUCAGAGGCAGAGAAGAUGAGCUCUCUCCUUCAGUUCAACAUGCAAAGGCUCUUCCAGUGUAUCUCCAUAAUCCAUGGUCGGAAAAAAUUCUUCUUGGGGAGGAGGUUCUCUCAGCUUGACAAACCGAACGGGAAAAAGAAAACCGAUGAAUGUUUUAAAGAACCGAUGUUUAAACAUAUUGAAACAACUUUGACCCAAGAAAAA